CAUGGUGCUGCGAGUCAGCUGUUGUUUGUGAGGAGUGUAAAUUUCUCCAGCAGAGGAGAAACGAUGGUGGCGCUAAUAUGGUUCACAGCCCUCUUAAUCUUGUUUUGGAAGGAAGAGGAAAUGGAAGCGAUGCUUUGGAAGUGAUGCAGCUGGCAAGACAGACUCCUCAGCGUUAGUAAAAAAAAAAAAAAAAACAGCUAAACCCAUCUAGAGUGG